rnacentral:misc_RNA from 1 species
AAGUCGUAACAAGGUUUCCGUAGGUGAACCUGCGGAAGGAUCAUUACCAAAUAAUUUAUAAUUUAACCCAUGUGCACUGUGAAUGUAUUGUCUUGGUUUUUGGGGUGGGCUUUAGGUUCACCCCAACCAUUUUGUUAAACUACUGUUUAUAAUUGUCAUGGCAUCGUAACUUGUGUUAAUAAAUAUUAUGACAACUUUUAACGGUGGAUCUCUUGGCUCGUGGAUCGAU